UCCCAUAACAAACAGCGUCUCUUUCCUGGAGGCGAA
rnacentral:sRNA from 1 species